rnacentral:rRNA from 1 species
GACGAACGCUGGCGGCGUGCUUAACACAUGCAGGUCGAACGGAAAGGCCCUGCGCUUGUGGGGUGCUCGAGUGGCGAACGGGUGAGUAACACGUGAGGAACCUGUCCUUGACUUUGGGAUAAAUUCAGGAAACUGGGGCUAAUACCCGAUAGGAUCUCCUGCUGCACGGUGUGGGUUGGUAAGUUUCGGCGGUUUGGGCUAGACUCGCGGGUUAUCAGCUUGUUGGUGAGGUAGUUGCUUACCAAGGCUUUGACGGGUAGCCGGCCUGGGAGGGGGACCGGCCACAUUGCGCCUGCGGUACGGAGCAGACGGGUACGGGAGGCAGUAGUGGAGAAUCUUACGGAGUGGGCGGACGCGUGAUACAGCAACGCCGGGUGCGGGAUGCCGGCCUUCGGGUUAUAAACCGAUUUCGAAUGUACCGAGGAGUGAGUGACGGUAAUGGGUCAAGAAGCAACGGCUAACUACGUG